CAGCUGGAUCGUCCCCUGCUAACUAGCUGAAACUUCUAACCUUUGCUUUUCAAUAAAUAAAAACACGGGGGGAUAAAUAUUAUUUGUUUGUAUGAAUAUAGUCCUAAAAAUAUAAGGCACAGGUAUAUGGGAGUGUAUAAAAUGAGCAUUACUUGAAGUAGAGAUGCGCCACAGUAGAAAUUUUUUUUCACUGCUCUGUGGUUUUGGAAGGCAGACUGAAAGAAAAAUGAGAGGUUUCCAGAAAAAACAGAGCAUUGAGCCAAACUAAGCAAAAUACUUAAAGUGAGCAAAGCAAAGCAAGAGUCCGCUAACAGUUUGUAGCAAGAGACUGUAUUUUCUUUUCCAGCCUCCUACCCCAGGAACUUUGUCUUGACAUCAAACAAAAAACAAUAGGAAUCAACAGAUUGGUGGAGGAGUGAGAGAACAAAUAUUUAAAGAAGAUUCAGGAGCUCUCUUUUGUUUUCUUUUUUUCUUUUUUUCUUCCUGUGAUGUUUGUGCAGUCUGAAAUGAAGGUGGAGAAAAAGUUCAGCUUUCCCAUUGCAAGAAUUUCCAUAGCUCCUUUCCUGCUGAGUAAGCCCUCACAGUUCACUUUCACAGAUGAGCUCUGCAUCCCAGCUUUAAUAUUAAAACCUUGAGCUGUGUGUCUGUCAACUUCCACAUUAUUCCACCUCUCCUCACUGUGAAGAACAGUUCUGCAGGGGACACCAAAUGGACUAAGCUUCUGAGUCAGAUUUCCAGCCUCUGAAGAAGUUAACUGAUAUUUGAAGCUGAAAUUUAUUUCCUGGGCAGAGUACCAGCACAGGGCCCAUCUGCCACGUAUGUCCAAUCUCUGUGAGGGUCAUAGGAAUGUGAAGAAAUUGUUGGCUCCCUGUGCUUGUGGGAGUGUAAGAGUGUCAUUGGUGGCUUGCAGACUGCUUUUGCAUCAGAAAAAUUCAUUCAUCUCAAAAUGUUUUUAUGCAAAAUAAAAGAAGAAUGCCUCAGUUUCAGAAAAAUUACCUGAAGAAUGCAGCAUUCUGCAGAGAUGACGUGUAGAGCAUGUUUUGUGGGAAGGCCAAAAUAAUUCUCUUCUCCUGAUUCUUGUUGGUUUUUUCAAAGCUAAUAAAAUAGGGAGUCUGGGAUCAUGGAAUUAUAGAAUAACAGAGUCAUAGAACCAUCGAAUGGCUUGAGUUGGAAGGGACCUUAAAGACCACCCAGUUCCAGGGCAGGGUUGCCACCCACCAGCUCAGGCUGCCCAGGGCCCCAUGCAACCUCGCCUUGAGCACCUCCAGGGACGGAGGACCCACAGCUCUCUGGGCAGCCUGUGCCAGUGCCUCACAACUGUCUGAAUAAAAAAUACCCUCCUAAUAUCUAAUCAAAAUCUCUCCUCUUUUAGUUAAAAACCAUUUUCCCUUGCUCUAUUACUAUAUGCCCUUAUAAAAAGUGGGUCUCCCUCCCUUUCAAUACUGGAAAACUGCAGGAGGUCUCCCCAGAGCCUUCUCUUCUCCAGAUUUCUUCUUCAAUUAUAAAAGUAAAUGAUGAGUGUAUAAAUGAGAAGCACUCUUCACAGUUACACACCUGGAGAGGUCAGGAUGAUGGCUUUCCAAUGGACAAAGUAUAUUAAAGAUAGUGGCAUUAUCCAUGUCAUCUUCCCCAGUUUAGAAUAUACCACCCUUAAAGAAGACAUUUGUCAGGAUACUGAAACCAGGAAUAGGCCUUACUGGUAACCAGCCUCCAGCACCUUCUUCACCAUCUGCGGGUUAAUGAGUCCCAUUUCAGCACAGCCAGGGGCCACCAGUCUUUUCCUGACUUUUGCACAGUGCAACUUUGUCUGCACUCAUGACUGGGCUCUCCAGAAAGACCCUGGGUCUGAUUUGUCCCUUGCUGUGUCUCUGACUAUCAGUGGAACCCACUACCAGCACCUGCCUCUACCUGCUGUGCUGCAGUCCUACCUUUCCGGAGACGUUUAUUAGACUAUCUUUACAUAAUUUGUGAUUUCUUUGUUUGAAUGUGGAAGAAAAAUAAAAGUGAAUAAAACCAGAGUGGCAGGUUCCAGGCUUGAACACAGCAGUUACAUCUCAAAAUAUUUUAUUUCAGUUGAAUAAGAAAGUGAGGGGGUUUCUGUAAACAAGCAAAGUGGUCAUAUGUAGGGAAUUAAAACUUCAUUUGCUUAGAUAUCACAUCUCAGAUGGGCUACAGAAGUGAACACACAUACUGAAGACUCCCACAGCACCCAGAAUCGAAAAGACAUUAUCCUUUGUGUUCUGGAGAAAUUCAGCACUGUGCAACUAUAUCCUCAUGAAUUAAAGUGCACUGUAUUUCUGCUUGUUAUGGAACCUCUGUCAUCCCAUUACACACAUCUCUGUGUUCUGUCAAGUUAACUUCAAUAUUCUGCUUCAGUAAGAAGUUCAGGAAGUCCUAAAGAACCCAAGUAAUUCAGAACAAUGUCACUGGAUCUAUUUGUUUAAGAUCUAUAUCCACAUACAGAUCUAUUUAUUUAUAUCUAUUUAAGCCAGUGUCUGGGUGAGUUGAUUUUCCCUGCCAACCUGCAGCUUAUUUCCAAAGAGAUCAGCAUGUCUGGAUGACAAAAGGAAGCGUGAAUGGACGGUUGUUAAGCUUGUGUCACUAGAAUUGAGGUGACAGGCCCAUGGGUGCUGUCAGCUAGGUAUGUCUAUCAGUUAAGGCCUCUGCAGUCUCAGAGGGAGUCUGUCUUCAGAGCAAAACUAACAGAAUCUGUAAUGAUUAAGCCUCUGCGUUUGUAGGGGUUGACCCAAGGCAAAGCUCCACCCUUACAGAAAUAAAACUUCAUGAUGCUUUGCGCUAUGCUUGGCUCCUCAGUCACAAGUGGCUUCACCUUACAAAUGAAUGCUAUCAUACAACUUCCAGCUGAGAAAAGUAAAUAUAAACGUGGGACCCCCUUCACGUCCAUUUCGUUGCCAUAAAAGCAGCAAUCACACAUCAGAGAUGGAAUUUGUGCAAAGCCUUUCUCAUUAACUUAGCAAUUGUAGCCAACUGAAUGCCACAGCCGGAAAGAAAUAUUUCAAUGUAUAAACAAAAUGCUAUGGAAAGAAUGAGUGUGAUACUCUCUCUCUGUUUAACUUCCCCUCUUGAAGCUUUUCUUUUUUUUUUUUUUUUAACAGAAAGAUUUAUUUCUCUUUUUGCAAAUAAUUAUGCUGCCAUUAUUUUCUUUACCCUAGAGUGUGAGAGAGAGAGAGAAACAAAAACACUUCAACGGCUUUUAUGGUUGUUGUUAUCAGUUUGCACUAAAGGGAAAACAACCCCAUUGGAAACUUUUAAGAGAAACUUUUAGCCCAGCAAUUGAAGGGUCAGCUAUGGUAUUGACUGCAGACAGGUUCAGGCCUCCUCAGGCAAACUGUUGUCUGCGGGAAAGCAGAGCAAAUGUGACCACUAUGCCACCCUCCAAGGACCCCAGGUGUAUUUUGUCUCCAGUCUAAGGCUUGCUUUGUUGUCAAGUGUAAAUACCACAGAGCCCCAGCACUGCAGUGCCUGCUCCAUUGGUGGCCCUGGCAAUCAGAGUGCAGGGACCUUUUCCCUUGCCUGACUGGGAUCAUGCCCCGGGGACAUGUUUGGAAAAUGUCUUUUCCUUCUCCUGAAUAGAUCUGGUAUAUAGUAGAGAAAUUAAAUCCAAGGGAUCUCACAGGAGACUUUGUGGUGUUCGGUUUUAGUAUUCAUCUCCUGAAGUCACCAGGUGAUAAAUCCACUAUACGAGCCUUUAUCCAAAAAACAAUAUGAAUUGUCCUAGAACUGCACCAUACUUUACCAAACAAAAUCUAUGGUCAUCAGGGUGAGAAGCAUCCCACUUUGUACAGCCUCAAAUCUCCAGAGAGAUUCUAAACUUUUGUCAGGACAGAGUCCCAGGAAUUUAUCAUCCCCAUUAAGUAAAAUAUUCAGUAGCUGAUCUCUUGUAAUAGAAACAAUGACUCACCAGUAGCUCUGAGGGGUUUGAUUUUCAAGUCCAGUGGUUUCAUUCAGUGGUCAUGGGCUCCUUAUAGGAAAAAUGGGUCUUCAAGGGAGGAGUCUGGAAUCAAUGUACCUGCUGGAGGUGUGCUGUAGGAUCAUGGCUGCUGCUAAAUCCUUGUUAGGACAGGCUAUAUUGUCUGGAUUGAGUGGGAUCCUUAGCUGCAUUCAUCCUUUGUCUCCUUUGGAGGGUCUUGAGUGCUUGCUAGGGAUAAGCA
rnacentral:lncRNA from 1 species